rnacentral:rRNA from 1 species
GACGAAGGGGGCUAGCGUUGUUCGGAAUCACUGGGCGUAAAGGGCGUGUAGGCGGUUUCGUAUGUCUGGCGUGAAAGCCCCGGGCUCAACCCGGGAAGUGCGUUGGAAACUGCGAAACUAGAGUCUCGGAGAGGAAGGUGGAAUUCCAGGUGUAGCGGUGAAAUGCGUAGAUAUCUGGAAGAACACCGGUGGCGAAGGCGGCCUUCUGGACGAUGACUGACGCUGAGACGCGAAAGCGUGGGGAGCAAACAGG